rnacentral:lncRNA from 1 species
ACCAGCACUGACCUGUUUCCCUAGGCAGCGCUUGGUGAGACCAGGUAUUUUCCUCUGGGGAGAACCUCAUUUUAUGUAUAAUGGCUGCAGAAGAAUUAAUUAUGGAUGGAUAAGGCAAGGAGCUGAGCCUCCCAUGACCUGGCUGUGGCUGGCUGGCUGAUUCUCCCUUACUCAGCCGUGAAAUGCCUCUAUAGGAUGUGUGUAGUAGCAGAGCCAAUGAGAAGCCAGAAGAACAUUCUUGUGGCUUUAAAAGCUUUCCUGUGGGCCUACAAGUGUAGCUCAUUGGGCUAGUACCUGUUCUACAUAUAUAUGGAAGGACCUGGGUUUGAUCUCAGAACCAUGAAAGUGAAAGUCUUUUGUUGUGGAAAGGAGGGAUGUGACCAGAGCCCUCUACUGACUGCAGCUCACAGCCAGUUAGAUACUUCACUGCUCUGUGGAUGAGUUUAGCCAUAGUGCAGUUUCAUUUAGGGUUAAAUGAGACAGCAUUCAAGCAUCCUGGAUGUAGGGGCCAGCACCAAGCAACAGUGGUUACUGUUGUCUGCAGGGAGCAGCACUGUACUCCGGGUCACAGAGCAGCUUGGGUUCCUUGGCUCAUUCUUCCUUUCGCAAAGUAGAUAGACUAUAUAGUGGACUUUCCUAUGUCUUCUCACUCCAUCUUUUAUGGGUACCUUUCUUCUGCUUCUCAGAGCCAUCAGGGGUGAAUUCUGCCCAAAUAAACAGAUUUCAAAACAGGGCUUUGAAUUAAACUUCAGACUCAUUCUAUUGAAUGAAGCAAAUUCACUUAUUACUACGAAUUUAACUCCCGUUGGAGCCAGUAUGUAUGUGUAAACACAUACAUCGAUCUCUUUCUUCUUUCUCUUGUAUUACUACGAGGAUCAGUUUCUUCUGGCUAAAUUCCAGGAACAACAUGCCUGUCUUGUUUCAUCGUUGAGGGAAAACAGUCUGAAGGCACCAUAAUUCCUUAAAUUGGAUUUCAAUUCUUGAUCCCCUUAUAGUCAGUAAACAGAGUGUUCUAUGAAGCACUGUUUAGAAGCAAGACACUGUCGGCUUUGCUGUGUGCAGUGUUGGAGCUCUGUGGGCUGAGGCUAGGAGUGGGGGUUUGGAGGUGGGGGUGACCCUCGGGAGCGAAUGCCUCCUGAUGUAGGCCUAUGUUGAGGGCAUUAAUCACUUCAGAAAAAACGCUGGCAUAAGUUGGGAAGGUUGUCUGUUAGUGAUCUGUCUGGAGUUCAGCAUGCAAGGUGUGUGUGCGUGUGCAUUUGCGUGUGCAUGCUUGUGUGUGUGUGUGUGUGUGUGUGUGUGUGUGUGUGUGUGUGUGUGUGUGUGAGUGUGUGUGCCAUCUGUCUGUCUGUCUUGUUAACUCUAUUAGUGCCAUGGCAGCUUCUGCAUUGCCACUUGAAAGCCUUGAAAUUCCUAUAUUCAAAUCAAAGGCACCCUGAAGCCCAGAUAAAGGCGACAGUGUGAUCUUCAAAGAUGAAGGACUAAGGCAGCAGUGGGGGAUAGUUUUCUGGGUAAUUCUGCCUCCCCACCCAUUUUUAGAAACAGUGAGAGUGUGGCUGCUCCUUCUCAUCUGUUUUGUGGGUAUAUGGGCUCUGGUCGAGCCCUCAGCUGUUUGUGGAUAAGGAGGUGGAUGACUCAAAGCAAGCAAAAUGGAAAUGCGUUGGCCAGAUCUGCAAUUGCUCCUGGGAGUAGGCUCUGCCUUCCUCUCUCCUUUCCUCCCUUCUUUCUCUGAGCUGCUUUCAUUUGAGAGCGCUGGCUUGGCACCCACUCACCCAAGAACUGAUUAGUUCCUGAAAGCAGAGGACCAAUCGCUCACAGAAAUGAUGUCAGCUUUGCUCUGGGGUACAUCAACUUGGAUUUCUCAUGCUUUAUCUUAUAAAGCCUAAAUUAACAGCUGGUUUGGUUUGAGUUCUCCGGGAUCUGACUAAGGGAUUAGAGUCCAUUCUCAAGUGAGUCAAUCUAGUUUAAUUUAUUUCAGGUCUAUCAAAAAAGAUCAAUCAAAGCUCUUUUGAAAGUAAAGCUAUAAUCGGCCUGCACACUUAUAAGUCACUGCUGUUGUAGCACUCGGUUGAAAAAAACUGCUCAGGCUGUGUCUUAAGAUGAUGUACCCCCCCCCCCUUCCUUCUGGCCUCUAUACUCCCCUGGAAGGUUUUGAGGAAGUGUCAUUUUGAGAACUUUGCUGAGAUGGUCGCUCUGCCUCCCGCUGCUUCCUUUUCUUGGGCAACGCAAAGUUCCUGGUUUGUAGAUUUCUAGUUGGAUGUGAUUUAAUACCCGGAGGUGAACAAGUCCAGCCUGUUUCAUGUCUGUGGCUUUGCUCCUGGGCUUGGAGAGAUUGGUGGGUAAAGACACACGUUGAAUUCUUUCUCCAAAACAUCUUGAGAGAUGAAUUACUCUUGUACUUUGCAAGGCUUAAGGUAGAAGCGUAUUCUGUAGAGGUUGAUCUUGACUUUGUGAGCUGGGAACUACAGAUUGAUCAUUGUUUUUGCAGUGCAGU